GCAUCCUGGGGCUGGAGAAGGUCCCAAGGGUCCGGCUGUUCGCCGGUUAAAGCGGUACGCGAGCUGGGUUCAGAACGUCGUGAGACAGUUCGGUCCUUAUCCACUGUGGGCGUAGGACACUUGCGGGGUUCAUUCCCUAGUACGAGAGGACCGGGAAUGACGCACCUCUGGUGUUGCAGUUGUUCCGUCAGGGGCAGCGCUGCGUAGCCAUGUGCGGAAGAGAUAAGCGCUGAAUGCAUCUAAGCGCCAAGCUCAUCCCAAGAUCAGGUGUCCCAUUCUCCGGCAGCAAUGUCGGAGGACUGAAGACCCCCGGUAGACUACCGGGUUGAUAGGCUGGAGGUGUACGAGCCGUGAGGCUUUUAGCUGACCAGUCCUAAUCGGUCGUGCGGCUUGAUCG
rnacentral:rRNA from 1 species